UUACCAUGCAAGUCGAGCGGUAGCACAGGGGAGCUUGCUCCUUGGGUGACGAGCGGCGGACGGGUGAGUAAUGUCUGGGAAACUGCCUGAUGGAGGGGGAUAACUACUGGAAACGGUAGCUAAUACCGCAUAACGUCGCAAGACCAAAGAGGGGGACCUUCGGGCCUCUUGCCAUCAGAUGUGCCCAGAUGGGAUUAGCUAGUAGGUGGGGUAAUGGCUCACCUAGGCGACGAUCCCUAGCUGGUCUGAGAGGAUGACCAGCCACACUGGAACUGAGACACGGUCCAGACUCCUACGGGAGGCAGCAGUGGGGAAUAUUGCACAAUGGGCGCAAGCCUGAUGCAGCCAUGCCGCGUGUGUGAAGAAGGCCUUCGGGUUGUAAAGCACUUUCAGCGAGGAGGAAGGUGGUGAACUUAAUACGUUCAUCAAUUGACGUUACUCGCAGAAGAAGCACCGGCUAACUCCGUGCCAGCAGCCGCGGUAAUACGGAGGGUGCAAGCGUUAAUCGGAAUUACUGGGCGUAAAGCGCACGCAGGCGGUUUGUUAAGUCAGAUGUGAAAUCCCCGGGCUCAACCUGGGAACUGCAUUUGAAACUGGCAAGCUAGAGUCUCGUAGAGGGGGGUAGAAUUCCAGGUGUAGCGGUGAAAUGCGUAGAGAUCUGGAGGAAUACCGGUGGCGAAAGCGGCCCCCCUGGACGAAGACUGACGCUCAUGUGCGAAAGCGUGGGGAGCAAACAUGAUUAGAUACCCCUGG
rnacentral:rRNA from 1 species